AGCACCGGCUAACUACGUGCCAGCAGCCGCGGUAAUACGUAGGGUGCAAGCGUUAUCCGGAAUUAUUGGGCGUAAAGGGCUCGUAGGCGGUUCGUCGCGUCCGGUGUGAAAGUCCAUCGCUUAACGGUGGAUCUGCGCCGGGUACGGGCGGGCUGGAGUGCGGUAGGGGAGACUGGAAUUCCCGGUGUAACGGUGGAAUGUGUAGAUAUCGGGAAGAACACCAAUGGCGAAGGCAGGUCUCUGGGCCGUCACUGACGCUGAGGAGCGAAAGCGUGGGGAGCGAACAGGAUUAGAUACCCUGGUAGUCCACGCCGUAAACGGUGGAUGCUGGAUGUGGGGCCCGUUCCACGGGUUCCGUGUCGGAGCUAACGCGUUAAGCAUCCCGCCUGGGGAGUACGGCCGCAAGGCUAAAACUCAAAGAAAUUGACGGGGGCCCGCACAAGCGGCGGAGCAUGCGGAUUAAUUCGAUGCAACGCGAAGAACCUUACCUGGGCUUGACAUGUUCCCGACAGCCGUAGAGAUACGGUCUCCCUUCGGGGCGGGUUCACAGGUGGUGCAUGGUCGUCGUCAGCUCGUGUCGUGAGAUGUUGGGUUAAGUCCCGCAACGAGCGCAACCCUCGCCCUGUGUUGCCAGCACGUCGUGGUGGGAACUCACGGGGGACCGCCGGGGUCAACUCGGAGGAAGGUGGGGAUGACGUCAGAUCAUCAUGCCCCUUACGUCCAGGGCUUCACGCAUGCUACAAUGGCCGGUACAACGGGAUGCGACACGGCGACGUGGAGCGGAUCCCUGAAAACCGGUCUCAGUUCGGAUUGGAGUCUGCAACCCGACUCCAUGAAGGCGGAGUCGCUAGUAAUCGCGGAUCAGCAACGCCGCGGUGAAUGCGUUCCCGGGCCUUGUACACACCGCCCGUCAAGUCAUGAAAGUGGGUAGCACCCGAAGCCGGUGGCCUAACCCUUUGUGGAUGGAGCCGUCUAAGGUGAGACUCGUGAUUGGGACUAAGUCGUAACAAGGUAGCCGUACCGGAAGGUGCGGCUG
rnacentral:rRNA from 1 species